rnacentral:misc_RNA from 1 species
AAAGUCGUAACAAGGUUUCCGUAGGUGAACCUGCGGAAGGAUCAUUGACAAAUCUAAACACACUGUUGCUUGGAGUGAGAGUCCGCUCUUGCUUCAAGUAUACACACAUCUUAACCUGUGAAUUGGCAGUGCGCAAGUGCUGUUGUUUGGCAUAGCAGCAGUAGUAGUAGUGUAGAGAGAGAGAUAAUAGUACACGUGAGUGUCUGACUCUCUCUCUCUGCCUGCCUGCCUGCUGCCUGCCUAAACAUAUUUACGUAAACUAUUGUCUUAUAACAAACAAAAACAAAAUACAACUUUUAGCAAUGGAUCUCUUGGCUUCU